UGUCCCCCUUUCAGCUGUGAAACAGCACUAAUCUCACCUAAGCAAACUCACAAACCAAGCAAGUUCAGACACUGUCAUCCAGAAGUCCCCCUGUACUAAAAUUAGGAAACCAUAAGUGGCUGCCUGUUCUUAUCCGAGGGUGUGACCAAGCAACUCCCCAGCCAAUCAGAGCCAAAUUAAUUCUGCAGGCAUGAAGCAACUGAACUUGUUUAUCACUUUGACAUCUGGCACCAGAGCAAAAACUUGCAAAUCUUAAACUGCCUUCACACAAGGAACUUGUGACACAGACAGCUGCAGCCUCACAGCCCACAGGCUGGGACUACCUACUCUCCCUACAAAGGGUACGGAGCCUGGAUUGGAAGAGAACACAGUAGAAGGGCCAUGUUGGGUUUUCAACGUGCAUUCAGGUUGCUUAAUGCAACAGUGAGGAAGCAGAUUGUUCCCAGAGCAAAUAUUGUUUCUGGACCACCAGAGGAGAUUGUCACUCCAGCUGAUCAAGCCAUUGCGCUGAUUGUGAUGUUUGCAACCGUCCUGAUCCCAUCGGGCUGGGUUCUGGCACACAUGGAGGACUACAAGCACAAGCCUAGUGAGUGAGAGACAGGAAGAAGCUGCAUCCAGCCUAGUUUAGGAGAAUGGGAAGAGGAGACUAUUGAACAAACCCCUUCAUGGCAAUCUGACUUUUGAGGAUUUUAUAAUUAAAACACCAUGAAAAAACA